rnacentral:rRNA from 1 species
GAUGAACGCUGGCGGCGUGCCUAAUACAUGCAAGUCGAGCGAACUGAUUAGAAGCUUGCUUCUAUGACGUUAGCGGCGGACGGGUGAGUAACACGUGGGCAACCUGCCUGUAAGACUGGGAUAACUUCGGGAAACCGAAGCUAAUACCGGAUAGGAUCUUCUUCUUCAUGGAGAUGAUUGAAAGAUGGUUUCGGCUAUCACUUACAGAUGGGCCCGCGGUGCAAUAGUUAGUUGGUGAGGUAACGGCUCACCAAGGCAACGCUGCAUAGCCGACCUGAGAGGGUGAUCGGCCACACUGGGACUGAGACACGGCCCAGACUCCUACGGGAGGCAGCAGUAGGGAAUCUUCCGCAAUGGACGAAAGUCUGACGGAGCAACGCCGCGUGAGUGAUGAAGGCUUUCGGGUCGUAAAACUCUGUUGUUAGGGAAGAAUAAGUACAAGAGUAACUGCUUGUACCUUGACGGUACCUAACCAGAAAGCCACGGCUAACUACGUGCCAGCCGCCGCGGUAAUAC